rnacentral:snoRNA from 1 species
AUGAGGAUGACUAUUCUAGACUGAAUUUGUUAUGUUGAAAUUCUUCAGUCCUCUAAGAAGUUCUGAAUAG